CCCUUCUAAACCAAUUUUACACCGGUUUCCAGCAUAAAAUAUUAGUGUCAGUCUGAUAGGGUUACUAACUCCAUGCUCCCUCCCCAAAACGAUUUGCUUAUUCCUACUGGAAUGCCAGGACAAACCUUAACCACUGCUCAAGGCUUAUUAAAAUCCCCCUUUCCUCACUGAGGUUUUCCCUGCUUCUCUCCAGUCUCUCCUCCUACUAACACUGCAGGCCCUUCUCUAUAUGUCUUUCCUGACUCUCCACAGGGCAUUUCCAGGUGUGUCUCACAUCUUCUAGACCAGACGGACUGGUUCUUCCAGAGGCAGGAGGGUGGAAGUCAUUGAGACCUGGGGUGUGAGGAUCAGACAGAAUUGGGAUCAGGACUACUGUGGCAAAUGAAAUGGGUGCACGGAAAAGGCUUGGUAUGGUGCCUGCUCACGUAGAUUCCAUGCCCAGCAUGGAGUCC